CAACAAGUUCUGUAGUGCUGUACAAUGGGUGGAUGAACAGACAAGUAUUUGUAACCAGACGAGUUGGACACAGAGGGCCCUGCUCAAUGAGCUUACAUGCUAGAGGGAGUGGGGUAAUGUGACACAAAAGGUAGGGGUAAGGUAGAAAGUAGGUUGCUAGAAUAUGGAUCAUUGAGGGCCUAAUGUUUUGUUUUGAUGACAGUUUCAGGAG